rfam:Myotis lucifugus cont2.23062, whole genome shotgun sequence.
UCUUCCUCAUUUUAUUUAUUACAUUUUAAAUCAGAAAUGAAGACCAGUUAAAAAGUAACAUUCAAAAACAAAUAGGUCAUUAGGUGGCAGAGAGGAGAGAGGCUUGCCUAUGCCCAGCAUCCUGGCCAUGGACAUCUGGAUAGUUGAUAGCCUGACACU